AAAGAAAUAGUUUAUUUUUAAAAUAUAUAGUUUGAAACUAUAAGAAAUAUAUUUAUUAUAUUUUUUUUG
rnacentral:tRNA from 1 species